rnacentral:lncRNA from 1 species
CUAAUAAGUAAUAAUCUCCCUGCUUUUUCUUCAGUUAAAUAAAUAUUCCAAGCACCAUAACCACCAAAGCCCGCUGUAGUGCUAUGGUUAUGGUACCAGGAGUGUCCUGUAAAAUGCAAACCAUUUAGUAGGUUUUGACAACUUACCUGAGUCCCACCAAGCACCCCAGCCAUAUCCUCUGGUUUCCGGAUUGCUUUAUUAUUAUUAUUGCCAUUUAUAUAGUGCCAACAGAUUCCAUAGUGCUUUACAAUAUUAUAAAGGGGGGGAGGGGGAUUUAACUAUAAAUAGGACAAUUACAAGAAAACUUACAGGAACGAUAGGUUACAGUCUAUAGAAUAGAGAAAGCGAGUCAAUGCAGGGCCCCCCUCAUUGGCUGAGAACAUGAGAACAUUCCGUUGAUUCUCUCUGCUAACGGUUGCAAUCCUGCUUUGCGUUAAGAAGAUGUUCCUACUGGAGAAGAACGUAUGUAGCAAAAAUUGUAUUGACCAACUGAGAGAUUUUAGUUUCCUCGCCCAAUUUCAGUACAUAUUUUAUUAUUUUUGAGAACUUUACCGUUUAUUCGCUAAAUAGAGCAAUAUACUGAAUUGAAAACCAAAUUGCAAAUAUAUCUACUCAGGAAAAAGAUCUCCAACUGUGUAGUCAGUUUGACUAUGGCAUACUUGCAAAAACAGAAUAUUCAAGGAUAUAAUCUUUCAAUGUAGGGUAAUAACUGCUUGAUCCAAGGAUAAAUCUGACUGCCAUUCUGGGGUCAAGAAGGAAUUUUUUUCCUAGCUUGUUGCAAAAUUGUGCUUCAUAUUGGGUUUUUUGCCUUCUUUUGGAUCAACAGCAAAAAACAAAUGUGAGGAAGGCUGAACUUGAUGCAAGUCUCUUUUCAGCUAUGUAACUAUUCACCACAAUUCACUGUUUAUUGAAGAAACUUUCCUUCUACCCGUCUGAGUGUUGGAGGGAGGAAUAAUCAUUUUUAUUGCCCACCCAUGUGACACACAAAGGGUUAGAGUGUGCAAAAUGUGUCUGUUUAUUCCCCACAACUGUGAUAACUAACCUUUGACAUUCCCCAUGUUGUGAAAAGUGUUACUUCUAAUGUUUACAACAGCUGGAGUGCUAAAGGUUAACUGUGUCUUGUUCAUUAAAUGUCAGGCCACAUUCAGAGUGUUAUUCACCAAAGUGUGAAUUUUUGGGAAUUCAACAUGAACUUAAACUGACUAUUAGAUUUUAGGCCACAAACCGGGAAACCGCUCACAUGGAAAAUUUUCUAAAUCCGCUACUAAAAAUUGAAUUUGAAUUAUUAUUCACUGUAGCGAACUAUCCUGGCAGUGAUGGAAAGUUCUUGUGUUUAUAACCAAUACCCACUUUUAUUUGAAGACUUUGUUAAAACCAGUGACAGGGGUAUUUUAAAGAUUUAAAAGAUUGCUGGGUGGGAAUUGUAACAAGGAGCAUGCUUGAAUCUGUUCCCCUUCUGUGUUGCUGCAUGACAUUACUGGUCUGCAGGAAAUAUGGUUCCUUUGUGUUUUGAAUCAGAGUUGUAAUCCACAAUUAUUCUCUUUUGUUCUAGCCGCAGGGACGCCAAGUCGACGAAGAUUCCAUCGAAGCAGCAUGAAAUGACGCUCCUAAAUAUAAAUAAAUGUCUUGCGCCCCUGCUUUACAGGUUUUAUUGGUAGCCUAUUUAUUUUUUCACUGACCAGCAUGACGUGUUUAGAGGUUUUAAACCUGGUAAAAGCCACAUGAUGAAAAAGGAUGAAGCAGAAUGUUUUCUAGUGACGUCUAAGUCCAUUUUUCUUGCAUUCCACAUUUGUUUUGCAACUUUUAAUUAACUGUCCCCCCAACCAAGGAGGACUGAUAGUUCACAAUCAAACAUGUCUCCUUGAGCCAACAUCAUUAUACACAGUAACCUCUUGAAAUACAAUGGCUCUAGUAACUCUUAUUUUUUAUAAUCAUCCUCUUGUAUUUCUGAUUCAUACAACAUACAUGUAUAAAAGGUCUUCUGUAUCUCCCAAAUUGUAUGAUAUAAAACACUUUGCACCACUGUAAUAUUUUUAGCUUGAAUAAUUGAAUCAUACUAUAUGAAUUAUGUCUAUAUGGCUUUGAACUAUAAUUGCAUUAAAUAUAUUGGACUAUAAUAUCCAAUUAUUGUGAAGGCAAUAGUCAUAAUAUCAUGCAACAGUGUCUGUUCAUCUGCUAAGUCAAAAACUUUUGGAUCACUAAUAUGAUGGCUGAAUAAAACUGCACAAACCCAUUUUUCUUUCUGUCAGUGUGGAGCCUGUAGCCAUCCAUGUACAGGAAUCCAGCAUUCAUUGAAUCCAUGACAUCAAUGGGAAAUGCACAAAUGAGCAUUUAUUAAACCAUUUCCUAUGUGUUGUGUUUCCAUCAAUUAACAGUGUGCAUUGUUUUGACAUUUUGUUUAUGUACAUAUCAACAAGAUACUAAUAAAAAAUGCUAUGUAACAAGUACCGCUAAUUUUACUGGCUUAAGACACUCCAGACACCAAUACAACAUUAAUGCAUUUGAUCGGUUUUGACCUCAUUAGUACGCUGUAUUUUUCAUGUUCAACUCAGUCUAGUUUUUGUAGAAUGCUACAUCAUAAUCCUGCCCCAUUAGUCUUGCCCCCUUCACUUUAAAAUAAAAAAUAAAAAAAAUGUCUUUCUCAAAUGCAUGUACACAGCUCAGCCACUGACAGCACUGAGUGAUCUGAACUACAAAAGCAACAUGCGUUUAAAGAAGAAGAGGACACCCAAGGAGAUAAAUAGUAAGGAUAUCACUACCUGCUUAUAGUUUCUGUGACUGUCAGCAGCCAGGUUGUAAAUUAAAAGCCACUUAUUCAAUGUUAUUAGGGACCAAGCAGUGUGAAUACAUUUAAUAAAAGAGUCUUUCUGGCUUAAGCAGGCAAGGCUAUGGAGAAAUGAUUUGGUACAGCAUUCUAGGAAAUGUAUUUUGAGCAAAAACUAUAAAGGUUAUGUUGCAAAAAAUACAACAUAUUCAUGAGUUCAAAUCCUAUGAAAUGCAUUAAAGUUGUAUAGGUGCGGGAGAGUUUAAAUAGUACCAUAAACAGAUCACUGUGAUCCUGUCACUGUUAAUAGAACGCAAUAAACUUGUUUUCAAAAGAUUUUAAACAGGAUAAGACAACAUGAUUGCUCUAUCCAGUCCCUCUUGGUCCAGUGCUGUGCUCUAUCUGUAGUUAGAUCAACCAGUUCAUUUUAUGCUCUUUAAUUUAGUAAUGUGGUUUGGAUAAUUAUUUUUGACUUCUGUAGUGGUAUUUAUUUAAGAUUAAACAUAAACUAGAUUCAAGAUCAAUACAUUUCUCCCUAAACAUUAUCUUUGCCCCGAACGCCACAUAUAUUUCAGAAGUAUAUUGAAGAAAUAAUAAUAAAGUAAAAUGAUACAUAAUAUAUUGCACAUUAUUAAUUCUCUUGCCUAUGCAUUAAACAUAUAAUGUAGCAGAUUUAAUUUUUAAUUUACAGUACUUUUACACUAUCCCUCAUCAAAAGAUAUAAUUUGGCAAAUCAGUUUUUACAGAACUUCAACUCCCAUUUAAGAAAUGGGAGGGGGGGUGGAUUGUAGUCUGACUAAUCUCCUCAAGAGAAAAGCAAGACAAAGCAUAUAUUUGGAGAUUUCAUGUUAUAUACCGCUAUCUAUUCAACUCUAUUGCCUGGGGACACCGGGUAUCUACAAAUCCCCAGUCCCCUUUUCCAGCUUAGUCCUACUAGCCGGUUACACAGAGGAAUACAACAGAUUUUUCACCUGUAGACAGCCUACAUCGACAGAAGCCAUGUUUCACCCCUCUGUACCAGUUUGGGGUAUCUCAGUCCCUACUGGAGACAAGCCUGUUCACAGAGAAACGUGGACAGGCAAUAACAAUAUUUUGUGAAUUAGACUAUACUUAAAGUGGCUGACAUACCUCCUAUCCAGCUACCAUCUCCACUGCAAUCCACUUUGAUGAAGGACUUACAUCAGGCAUUUGAUAACCUAUGCACCCGUAUUUGGACACAGCUGGUUCAGCAUUCCCACAACUCAUCACCAGACCAGCCAAUAGUCCAGAUCUUCUCCCUGACAUACAGAAAGUAGAAGCUUAGAUGUUGCUUACCUAGAUUGCUAGCCUUGGAUAGAGGGUCACUCCGAUACCACUCACAUUCCAGAAGGGUUGGCCCUUGUAGACUCUUCAAAGAUACAGAUUUGCACACCAAGAGUGGACAGCUCCAUGGUCAUUGUGUGCUGGCUCGUAUUGCGGGGAGCACCUCUGCUUGUGAGUGUUUCCGAGUGAUUGUAGCGGAAUCAGGAUAGUACAAAGGAGCAGACUGCUGUCAUCAGGAGUUGGGUCAAUUGGGGUUCAUAGGAGUCUGUGUGGAAUGAGUCUACUUACCAAUUGGCGUGGUGUCUUUUCGUUAGUAUCUUACUCUUACAUUUCUUAACUAAAAUAUCCAGACCAAUCCUUAUGAAGUUGCAGACUGGUUGCUCCAGUGGUUCCAUACGUGUGCAUUUAAGCAGUAAAAUCUCAAACAAUUACUAUGUCUAGCAAUUGGUUAAUCAACUAACAUAAUUAAAAAAAAAAACAAUAAAAACCAAUAAUCUAACACCAAGAAUUAUGUGUAAUCUGUAAAGUGUACCAUUCAUACUAAAUAUGCUGACAAAUGCUG